rnacentral:lncRNA from 1 species
GUUUUUGUGCCAUCAGAAAGAUUUGGUGCUUGAUGAUUUGGUCACUAAGAAAGUUUCCAAAUGCAGAUCAAGUCCAAAACCGAAGAAAAUCAAAGAUGACAAAAAAACAAAAAAAAAGGAAUAAGAGUACACAAAAGGGCACAACUUUUAAAGUGACACCUAGGACUCUGAGAAAGAGUAGCUACUAGGGUCUUCUACGCCUUUUGUGUGAAUCUCCGAGUUAGAGAUCCAUUGGUCAACUAUUUCUUUAAGUUGAUUUAGCCUCUGAUUGUUGUCAUUUAAGGAUGACAUAAGCUGAUUUGAUUUAGCUUCAAGCAUUCCUUGAGGAUGAAACAAGAAGAUUUCAAAGAAGUGAGGAAGUGCUUGAGAGUAUGCUUCUCUGGCCCUUUCUUUUGAACUAUUGAUUAGAUCUGAAGUUUUGAGGGCAUUGUGCAAUAGAGAUACAGAUCUCUUUAAGUUUAUAAAGUUAUCAACAUCUUUUGCAAGUAUGAGAUAAGAUGGCUUACUCAUUUUUCAAAAGAGAACCAGAUGUUUUGGAAGAGAGAGAAGAGAGCGGCGGCCUAUGGGUUUUUUAAAAAGAGAUGAGAUGAAAUGUGAAACCCUAAGGCCUGAUUAUAUAGACUCGAGAGAUAAUCGAUUAGCAUAUAGUGAUAAUCGAUUAUUUCUUUAGCUACUUACUGUUCUGAACAGCUUUA